AUGCUGUCAGUACACAAAAUAAUCACUUAUAAAAACAUGCUGUCAAUGACAAAGUAACCAUCCCCCUCUGAGGAAGCUGCUUGAAUUAUGCAUAGGGUAAACUGAACUAACAAAAAAACCACAUCUGUUUUUUAAUGCAUAUGAUACCUUGUGUUUUAAAAUCAUACUGGACAUACCAAGAGAUUAUGCACUGAAGAUCUUCAGCCCGAUCUGCUGUGUGUGGCAGGGAGGAAAUAAAGAAACUAUCAUAAUGGUUCAGAUGUUUGCUUAAAGCAUGCAGGAAAUUAUGCUCUCUCAGCGGAACAGUGGAGAGGCAUAUCAGAAACAAGUGCAGACAAAAGCAGCAUCCUCUUCAGUUCUGCCUACAGCCCAAUAUUCUUCACUAAUCAGAAAAUCAAUCAUUUGAAGACUUCCAUUUGCAUAUCUAACUGUAGAAGUUUAUCCUGCUGGCAUAAACAAAGUGGGUGCUUUUAAGGGAGCAGGAAGGGAGACAGAAAAAGCAGCUGAAAUCUCAAACUCUCAAGAGAUUCUUAUUCUUCUUGAAUUCAGAACUUCCUUGUUUAUAAAACUGACUGCUCUUAGUGUGGUGGAAAAUAGCAUACAAACAUAUAACUCAAGACUGUAUCAUAACUACCAAAAAACCACAGAAGCUUUAAUCCUCACAUCUUCUAAUGUGUGUGGAUGACUGUACAUGUAAUCCUCAUUUGAUGGAAUGCUUUGUGAAAUGAAGUUGUUUCCCACUCUACACAGCAACAUAACACAUUAUUUCCACAGACACUCAGAGCAGCACGUUGACUUGCUCUCUCUUACUUACAAGCACCAAACAGUGAUGCAGAGGAAAGCUACUUAUCUGCAUCAAGGUUUUGAGGGAAGGGUGGCAUGGAGAUGGGAAGAACAGUGAGAGUUAAUGGUA